GUAUUUUCUGCCCUAUGAUUAAUUUUAAAUGGCUGCAGUAUUUUGACUGUGCAAAGGUAGCAUAAUAAUUAGUCUUUUAAUUGAGGACUGGAAUGAAUGGAUAUAUGAGAUAUUUUUUUUAUUAUUAAUAAAUUUAGAAUUUUAUUUUUAAGUUAAAAAGCUUAAUUUUUUUUUAGGGACGAUAAGACCCUAUAGAACUUUAUUUUUAAUAAAAAAUAACUAAAUUUAGUAAAUUAAAUAUUUAGUUGUUUUUCUAAAAAAUUUUGUUGGGGGGACAGAUAAAAUAUUAAACUUUAUUUUUUAAAAACAUAUUGUAAAUGUAAUAUUGAUCCAUUAUUUUUGAUUAUAAGAUCAAGUUACCUUAGGGAUAACAGCGUAAUUUUAGUGGGGAGAUCAUAUUUAUACUAAAGUUUGCGACCUCGAUGUUGAAUUAAGAUAAGUUUAAGGGGUAGGUUCUUUAUAAACUAAGUCUGUUCGACUUU
rnacentral:rRNA from 1 species